AAUCUUAUAUUUUAUUAUAAAAUAUUAAAUUGCAAAUUUAAAGAAGAUUAUAUUCUAAGAUUU
rnacentral:tRNA from 1 species